GACGAACGCUGGCGGCGUGCUUAACACAUGCAAGUCGAACGGAAAGGCCCUGCUUUUGUGGGGUGCUCGAGUGGCGAACGGGUGAGUAACACGUGAGUAACCUGCCCUUGACUUUGGGAUAACUUCAGGAAACUGGGGCUAAUACCGGAUAGGAGCUCCUGCUGCAUGGUGUGGGUUGGAAAGUUUCGGCGGUUGGGGAUGGACUCGCGGCUUAUCAGCUUGUUGGUGGGGUAGUGGCUUACCAAGGGUUUGACGGGUAGCCGACCUGAGAGGGUGACCGGCCACAUUAGGACUAAGAUACGGCCCAGAAUCCUACGGGAGGCAGCAGUGGGGAAUAUUGCACAAUGGGCGGAAGCCUGAUGCAGCAACGCCGCGUGCGGGAUGACGGCCUUCGGGUUGUAAACCGCUUUCGCCUGUGGCGAAGCGUGAGUGACGGUAAUGGGUAAAGAAGCACCGGCUAACUACGUG
rnacentral:rRNA from 1 species